GAGAGAAUAAUCAUGUUGGCUGCUAACCUUCAUUAUUGCUAAAGCUUUCUCUUU
rnacentral:tRNA from 1 species